AAGUCUAAUCCAUCCUGAUGAAGUCGUCUGGAUGAUAAGCCGCAUAGGAAGACCAUCCAAUCUACUGUUGUCUUUUCUAUAGACAUGAGAGGCCCGAUGGGAGAUGUAUUUACUUAGCAGACGGUGAAUGUCGUGGAGCAGUCGCAGUCCCCUAUCAGCACCUCUGGUCCCCUAGAUCUUCUGGAUCAAUGUGGUAGAAUCUCCCUCAAUGAUAAGACGGUCGACCCUCAGCACCCGUCUCGCAUAGUAUACUUCCUCCCAUGCUGCUCUCAACUCAGUAUUGUCGACAGUCUGGUUGAAGAUGCGCCGGCUCUCAGCUGCCACUAGUUUGGUCUGCUGAUCUCUGAUGAUAAAGCCGACACCGCACCAACCACCCACCUGGGUGCUGCUGUCGAAGUUCACCCUGAGGAAAUUGCCAUUUUUAACGCUAUCUAUGUUGCCGCUGAUCUCUUUCAAUUCCUGUUCAGGGUUCAGUUGCAGAAAGUCCUCUCUCAAGGCUACGACGACUCUUCUUGGCCAAUCCAGAUGCGAAGUCUCAGGU
rnacentral:lncRNA from 1 species